rnacentral:rRNA from 1 species
UGGUGGAGUGAUUUGUCUGGUUAAUUCCGUUAACGAACGAGACCUCCGCCUACUAAAUAGCACACUUAGGUUCAAACAAGUGAAGGGUGGUCGGCGAUUGGAGCUUCGGUUCUGGUCUCGGUUGCCCUGGAUCUAUGAAAUUCUUUGUAAGGCUUCUUAGAGGGACUGCCCACGGUAAGUGGGAGGAAGUUGGAGGCAAUAACA